rnacentral:rRNA from 1 species
CAGUAGCCACGGGAAUACGAAGGGGGCUAGCGUUGUUCGGAUUUACUGGGCGUAAAGCGCACGUAGGCGGAUCGAUCAGUCAGGGGUGAAAUCCUGGAGCUCAACUCCAGAACUGCCUUUGAUACUGUCGAUCUCGAGUCCGGAAGAGGUGAGUGGAACUCCUAGUGUAGAGGUGGAAUUCGUAGAUAUUAGGAAGAACACCAGUGGCGAAGGCGGCUCACUGGUCCGGUACUGACGCUGAGGUGCGAAAGCGUGGGGAGCAAACAGGAUUAGAUACCCCGGUAGUCCCUGUCUCUUAUAC